rnacentral:sRNA from 1 species
UGAGAGGGCCCUAUGGUCGCCCGGCGUUGC